AUUGAACGCUGGCGGCAGGCCUAACACAUGCAAGUCGAGCGGAUGAAGGGAGCUUGCUCCUGGAUUCAGCGGCGGACGGGUGAGUAAUGCCUAGGAAUCUGCCUGGUAGUGGGGGAUAACGUCCGGAAACGGGCGCUAAUACCGCAUACGUCCUGAGGGAGAAAGUGGGGGAUCUUCGGACCUCACGCUAUCAGAUGAGCCUAGGUCGGAUUAGCUAGUUGGUGGGGUAAAGGCCUACCAAGGCGACGAUCCGUGACUGGUCUGAGAGGACGAUCAGUCACACUGGAACUGAGACACGGUCCAGACUCCUACGGGAGGCAGCAGUGGGGAAUAUUGGACAAUGGGCGAAAGCCUGAUCCAGCCAUGCCGCGUGUGUGAAGAAGGUCUUCGGAUUGUAAAGCACUUUAAGUUGGGAGGAAGGGCAGUAAGUUAAUACCUUGCUGUUUUGACGUUACCAACAGAAUAAGCACCGGCUAACUUCGUG
rnacentral:rRNA from 1 species